CCUACGGGUGGCAGCAGUGGGGGAUAUUGCACAAUGGGGGAAACCCUGAUGCAGCGACGCCGCGUGUGGGAAGACGGUCCUCUGGAUUGUAAACCACUGUCCCCAGGGACGAAGAUGACGGUACCUGGGGAGGAAGCUGCGGCUAACUACGUGCCAGCAGCCGCGGUAAUACGUAGGGAGCAAGCGUUGUCCGGAAUUACUGGGUGUAAAGGGAGCGUAGGCGGGAUGGCAAGUUGGGGGUUAACUCUACCGGCUCAACUGGGAGUCGCACUCAAAACUGCUAUUCUUGAGUGAAGUAGAGGCAGGCGGAAUGCCUAGUGUAGCGGUGAAAUGCGUAGAUAUUAGGAGGAACACCGGUGGCGAAGGCGGCCUACUGGGCUUUUACUGACGCUGAGGCUCGAAAGUGUGGGGAGCAAACAGGAUUAGAUACCCCUGUAGUC
rnacentral:rRNA from 1 species